rnacentral:rRNA from 1 species
UACAGAGGGUGCAAACGUUGUUCGGAAUUACUGGGCGUAAAGCGCGUGUAGGCGGUCUUGUAAGUCGGAUGUGAAAGCCCCGGGCUCAACCCGGGAAGUGCACUCGAUACUGCGAGGCUAGAGUACUGGAGAGGUUGGUGGAAUUCUCGGUGUAGAGGUGAAAUUCGUAGAUAUCGAGAGGAACACCGGUGGCGAAGGCGGCCAACUGGACAGAUACUGACGCUGAGACUCGAAAGCGUGGGGAGCAAACAGG